AUUCUGGGGCCGGGCAUCAACAUCCUUGCCGCCUGGCACAAGCAGGUCGGGCCAAGUCCCACCGGCUCCGAUGACCAGGCGUUCAACUUCGGCAGCGGAUGCUCAAUGGCUACGCCGCACCUGGCGGGGAUUGCCGCGCUGCUCAUGAGCGCCCACCGGGACUGGUCGGUGGCCAUGAUCAAGUCGGCGAUCAUGACGACGGCGCUUACAAAGGACAAAGACGGGAGCCCAAUAAUGGACGAGCGGAGCGAGGAUAUGACGCGGCCCGCGAGCUUGCUCACCACGGGAGCCGGGCAGGUCAAUCCCUCGGCGGCCUACGAUCCGGGCCUCGUUUACGACAUCCAGCCAGAUGACUACGUCCGGUACCUCUGCGGACUGUACAGGAACAACGAUUUGACGGUCAGUGGGAUUGCUCGUCGGAAGGUCAGUUGUUCUGUCAUCGGGGGGAUUGCAGCUGAGGAUCUGAACUAUCCGUCUAUUUCGGUCAAGUUGUCAUUGGGGUCGGAGAAGAACAUAAGCCGAACCGCGACGAAUGUAGGGGAUGCCGCGUCGACGUACACGCCGGAGGUGAUCGAACCGGAAGGAGUGAGCGUGGAAGUAAACCCUGGAACGCUUGAAUUCGCAGCAGUUAUGGAGAAGAAGAGCUUCAACGUGACGCUCAAAGCAAAGAGCAAACUGCGGGGUGGGGGGCGCAGAGAAGGGUACUUGUAUUGGAAAUCAACUGAUGGCAAGUAUAGAGUUGGGAGUCCCAUUUUGGUGCAGUUCUAAGUAAAUAUUGUGAGUACAUCUCGUGUUGUUUCUUUUUCACACUUUGAUCAGUUGAUCACGCAGAAAGUUCUUAAUAAAAAAAAAAAAAGAUGAUAAUAUGGUUACGAAGUUGAAAAAUUAAGAUGAUAAUAUGGUUACGAAGUUGUACUGCACCGAAUACCUUGUAGGAAGUUUCAUCACCUAUCAUGUAUCUCCCUACAAUUUAGAUGUUUUAUAGUUAGCUUCAAUAUUGUAUUUUCUUUUAAGAAUUAAUUUAAUAAAAGUAAUCUAUGGACUUGUUUGGUUUCAUCUAAUUUAGACUUUCGAACCAGAUUGCGAUUCACUGAUUACAAUAAAAUAUUGUUUACUUUAGACAAAUCGAAUUUUGAUUCUCAUUCUAGCCUAAAAUGGAAAUGUUCCAAUCCAUUUACAACUUAAUUCGACUUCAAAUUCUAAAUUGAUCCAUUCAAAAAUAAAUCACUUAAGCCUUACCUCUCAAACAUCUCUACCUCCUCUCCCCUUAUCACUCUCCUCUUCUCUAUUAAAAUCAUUUCUCAAUUUUUUUUUUGUAUUUCAAUUACUCAUUAUAAUUUUCAUUCCAAUAAUAAAUCAAAUAAUUUAAAAUUUUUUUUUAUUAUUUUUCAUUUUAAGGCACUCAAAUUUUAUUUUUAUUUUCAUUCCAAUUAUAAGCUAAAUACGUCCUAAAAGGUACAUUUAACAAUAGUAAUUUAUUUUAUUAAUAUUUUUAUUUGUGAAACAAUGAAACUACAUCAUCCUCUUUGCAAGUAUUUGAUAUUGGCCCGAGAUUACCCGAUCUCUAGCAUAUGUUAAUCUAUUAACGAAAGUUUGGAACGAGCUACAAUGGCCUGUCUUUAGCUUCAUGCACCUUACUUUUCUCCUUUUUUCUACUUCCUCCCUCUUCCCCUAUCUUCCUUUUUUCACUUCUUCUUGCUAUUUUUUUUUACCUAUUUUCGGAGGUCGAAGCUGCUUUCAUUUUGUAUGCCUAAUUCAUUUUACUUAAUGAAUGAAGCAGGUAGCUCGCUACCUAUUUUUCAAAGAGCAAUGCUUCAAUACACCAUAGGUAUUAAAAUUAAACUCUUAAUUAGUAAAGGGUAUAGUUGGAUUUUACAUAAAAUAACCUAUUGAAUAGGUUGUCAAUUUGAAUUAGUUAAUAUGACAAUAUUGGAAAAAAAUUAGUAGCAUAUACUAAAAUUGUCAGCAUCUUUUAAUUAGUUUUGUUACUUACCAAAUUAGAUAAUACCCAAUUUGUUAAGUAUCAAACUCAAAAAAAUAUUGAAUUUAAAUUUAAGUUUUGAAGUUGGUAUUGUAAUGUAAAGUUUUAAUUUCAAAAUUUAUAUUAAACUUUUAAAUUUUGAACCUACAUUGUACUUUUAAUCUGAAAACCAAAUUUUAAUUUUUGAUUUAAAUUACAANCUACAUUGUACUUUUAAUCUGAAAACCAAAUUUUAAUUUUUGAUUUAAAUUACAAUUUUGAAUUUGAACUGAAAGUUUUUUUUAAAAUUUGUGUUUUAUAUUUAAAAAGUGAAUUUGAUUUAUAAUUAAGUUUGUUAUGUUGCUUUGCAUUUAAAUUUAUAAUUUAGUUGUAAUUUGAAUUCCAACUAUUGUUGUAGGUAUUUGAGAAGGUUAUAGUAUUUUUUAGUUAGAUUGAACCGGUUUUGUAGGCGAAAAUAUUUUUCUAUGACCAAAAUACCCUUUAAAUAGGUACCUGGUGAAUGGUACCUAUGCCUAAAUAGUAAGUCGUCUCUAGAAUCAUAUUACAUCUCAACCAUCUAUGUAAAAAAAUAAAUGGUCAAGAUUUACAUAAGAUUUAGAUGGUGUAUUGAAGUAUUACUCUUUUUCAAAAAAAAAAAAGAUAUUGGCCCGAAACAAUUUCAUUUUCCGGGCAGCACCCUCCGACGCUACCCGAUCUCUAGCACGUGUUAAUCUAUUAAUGAUGGCUUAGAACGAGCUACAAUGACCUGUCUUUAGCUUCCUGUACCUUACUUUUCUCCUUUUUUCUACUUCCUCCCUCCUCCCCUAUCUUUUUUUUUUCACUUCUUCUAGCUAUUUUUUUUACCUGUUUUCGGAGGCCGAAGUUGCUUCCACUUUUUAUGCCUAGUUCAUUUUAUUUAAUAAAUGAAGCAGAUAGCUCGCUAUCUAUUUCUCAAAAAAAAAAAGAUAAUGCCCCGAGACUCCAAAAUAGUAUUUACAAGUUCCGUACGUGUUAGCCAUGAUAUCAUUGAUAUGGAGCAAGUCAGGGUGCUAUAUAUUUUGCCCACUUUAAGUGAAAAUGUAACCUUAAACUUAUUUUUAUUCAUUAAUGAGAAAAUAUAUUCACUUCAAUAGUUCAUUUUUGAAAUAAAUUAUCAAACUUUUGAUAUAUUAUUUUACAUAAUAUUUGCUUUAAUUUGAUCAUGGGUUAGUUUUUUGGCUCAUUAAGUUUAAAUUAUUUAAAAGAUUAUUCUUAAUUCUAUUAAAUUUCAUGAUUUCAAGUACUCUUAAUCUAAAGAAAGUAAAGAUCCCAACGAUAAUUAAUGUAGCAAUAGAUAUUAAAGUGAAUUAACUAAAACAUAUAAAUUGAAAUAAAAAAUAGUCAAUCAAUACAAAAAAAGUCUGAUAAUCUAUUUCAAAAGAAAAUUGAUAUUGUCAAAAUUAUUCUUUAAUAUCGUCAGAAUAAACAAUAUUUAAAUCAUAAUUAAAUAUUCUAAUGUUUAUUCAGACAAUAUCAAAAGUAGUUUUGACAACAUUAGAUUAAUUCCAAUUCAAAAUUCGAAUCAUAUAUUUUUCAUUUCCCAAUUUAAGGCGAAUACGUGACAGGGUCAGUUGCAGCGGGCACAUCGAUCCGCAAUCACUCAGACGCUCUCGUCAAUCUCAUCAAGCUAGCAACAUAGAGAAGGAAAAAAAUUACUGCACCACAACAACAGGGAAAAAUUGAAUCCAACAAAAUAAAACUUGACUACUACUACUUGGUUUUGCUCGUUUUGUUUUGCUUCAGUUUGGCCAAAUAUAGAUACUCCGACUUUAGAGCAGCACAUUUAUUUUGUAGUUUGAAUCAAAAUUGAAAAAUAAAAUCAUAAUGACGAACAGACUUAAAAUUUUUUUUUUUUUUUGAGAAAAAAAUAGCAAGCUAUUUGCUUCAUUCAUUAAGUGAUAUGAACUAAGCGCACAAAAUGAAAUCAGCUAAGACUUCCAAAAAGCAGGCAAAAAGUGGUAGAGAUAAGAAGCAAGAAAGAAGUGGGUAGGUGGGAAAAGAGAGAGAAGAGAGAGAAACUAGUGACAUGUCGGUCCAAUUUUCCAUUGUUACUGUAUUCACUCAACCUUGGAGACAGCCUUUGUCUGACAGUAUCGCAAAACGAUGGUUUCGACUAAGGCGGUUGGCUACUGGACAAAAUCUAAUUGACAUCGACCUUGCUAUUGCAGCGACUUAUUGGGAGCUCUGGAAAGAAAGGAAUAGAAGAUUAUUCGAUAAUCUGCAGGUCCGAAGCGACGUCCUGGGUAGAUGCAUUUUUGAAACAGUCUCAUGUUGGAAGUCGGCUUUUUGCUCUUUUGGCUGUUAGGUGCUUAUUUUGUUUGUGUCUGUGUUACCUUGUAUUUUGUUCGCUGCUUUGUUUGCUGUUUGGUUUCUGUCUUGGAUCCUAAGGGGAUGCUCAUGGGACCUUUCAUUGGUUGCAAGUGCUAGGAUGCACCUUGUUCUCUUCUGAUCCUCCCUCUGUAAAAUAGGGUUCAUCCCUGUUUAAUCAAAAAAAAAAAAAAUUCCAUUGUUACAGUGAAAUAGAUUCAAACUAUAAAGAUCAAAUUAAAUAGCAGGAUUACUAAUCAAAUGUGCUCCUUUGUUUCAGUUUGAUGGAGAGCAUGGAUAGAGCAAUCUAAGAUCCUUGUUUCUACAGAGGACACGAGCACUUUCAGUAUGUAACUAGUUUUGUUAGGUUCUUCAAUUUCUUGGAUCACAAUCCUUUUGUCCCAUGGCUAUAGUUUAUCGAGUGAUUAUUGGCAUUAGGAUAUGCUUGUUAAAGAUCUUGGCCUACUCACUGAUUUUUAGUUUGUCUAACUUCGCUUUAUUGAGCAUGAUCCAAUUAUUUGUGAGAUUACAAGUGCAAACGAUGUACCCUCCUUUUGCAGCAUCCAAUACAAUUUCUUUUAUGGUGUCUCGGAAGCAUGAAAAACCAUCACUUCUGAACAAUCACUAAUUAAUUCUAGGUACCGACCAUUCUAGAGCAACUGGUGAAGGAUUUGAUGUUUGGUAUCCGAGACCCAAGUUUGAAUCCUAGUUGAUUCACAUUUCCCGCUAAGUUUAUUUCUAAAUGAAAUAAAUGAAGCGGGUAGCAUGCUAUCUUUCUCUCAAAAAAAUAAAAAAUAAAAAAAAUAAUUAAUUCUAGGUGGACAUUGACCGUCACUAGCAUAAAUAGUAUAGGAUUUAAAGACAAUGGUUAGUAUUUGAGGUCCAAAUGUUAAAUUCUAAUUGUUUUAUAUUUUCAACUAAAUUUAAUUUUUAAAAAAAUAAACGAAGCGACUAACAUAAUACCUUUACCUCUCCCCCUUUAAAAAAGAAAAGAGAGAAAAUUCUAGAAUUAACGGACCACAGCUAAUACAAUUGGCUUACUUAAUUAUACUUUAUUAUAUUAUAUUUUGUGAUCUUUUACACGUUGAUAACCUUCUUUUCGCAGUGACCAAUGAGUUGUUAUUAAUAUUUUUAAUUAUUAAUAAACCUACGAUUUUGGUCGGGUCUAAGGAGUAUUAUGAAAAAAAUGCUACCUGUAAAGGAGAGAAAAUGAUUGAGCACCAUUUGACAGAUGUUUUAUAUAUAUUUUUAAGCGGAAUCUAUCAAAAACUUAUGCCAAAAAAAGAACAUAUAUAAUCGGCUGACUUUGAUUGAGCGCAUUUACACAACUUGAUUUUAAAUUUUUAGACUUUAAUUUGACAAUUUAAAAUGAAUUUAAUAUUUUAAAUUUUAAGUUUAGUUUUAUUAUAUUUAUUUUUAAACUCCAUCAGAAUAAUAAAAAAGAAACAGAUAGAGAGAUAUUGCGUUCUAUUUCCAAUUUUAAUUCUUAUUUAGGCGAGACAUGUCCAUCGAGUCUAAAAAAAACCUCUUCUGAAACGAAAAGUUAUUUUAAAAAAACGAAAUAUUAUUAUUUUAAUAUUUUACGUUUAAAAGUUUGUACGAUAUAAUAAAUAGUGAUCGAGCUAAGUAACAAACAAUCAUUUUAGAAGUGUAAUCCUCAUUUAAAUCCUUCAAUGUAGAAUCCAAAGCAAUUGACCAUUAUUGUAUAUACAUUUAUUUAAACUGCCUCCUUAGUUGGUUGCGUCAAACUGUGUCUUCCGCCAAAAUUAUGGCGAAGAAGAAACUUCCCUUUCCCUCCUUCUUCGUCUCCGUUACAUUAUUUCUAACAUGUUUUCAACCAUGCAUGAUCGAGAGCAAUCCCCUCUCCAUUGUUGAUCCUGAUGAGGGAGACGAUCUCUACAUCAUCACCGUCGUCCCCCCGGACGGCGACAUCGACCUCCUCGGCGCCGAAGAGCUCGAGCAAUACCACCUCUCCUUCCUGCCCAACUCCACCCUCGACUCCGGCGCCCCGCGUCUCGUCCGCUCCUUCCGCCACGCCUUCAGCGGCUUCGCGGCGAGGCUGACCCCCGUGGAAGCCGCCGCCGUCAAAGUGGUGGACGGCGUCGUCUCCGUCCAGGAAAACCGGAUUACGCCGCUCGGGACUACUUACACCCCGACGUUCCUGGGCCUGAAUGGAUACAACGGCAUCUGGUACAAGACUAAAGGGGAGGGCGUAAUCAUCGGUGUCCUCGACACCGGCAUCUCCCGGAACCACGUGUCGUUCGCCGACGACAAGAUGCCGCCGCCCCCUGCGAAGUGGCGCGGCUGCUGCGAGUUUGUCACCAGCAAGUGCGACCCCUUUGUGCCGACGGUGUGCAGUAACAAGCUCCUCGGUGCACGGAAGCUGAUCUACAAAUCACCCGAGGAUGAGUCUGGGCACGGUAGUCAUUGUUCUAGCAUAGCUGCGGGGAACUAUGUUCAAAGUGCCGAGGUGCGUGGCCACGCUGAGGGCACCGCGGCGGGCAUGGCCCCGCGGGCGCACAUCGCAACAUACAAGAUUUGCGGCGGCGCGAACCAGUGCUUUUCUUUCUCACAAGCCAGCGGCCUGGACCAGGCUAUCGCUGACGGAGUCGACGUGCUGUCCCUCUCCAUCGACUCCUACCCGGAGCGUCUGCACGAGAGCAACAUCGCCAAGGCGUCGUUCGUCGCGAUGGAGAAGGGCAUCUUCACGAGCGCGUGCGCGGGGAACUCCAUGGGGAACGUCCGGAAGGAGGUGGUGAACGACGCCCCAUGGAUCCUGACUGUCGGCGCCAGCACGACCGACCGAAGGGUGCGCGCGGUCGUGCGGCUCGGCAACGGUAUGGAGUUUUACGGCGAGUCUGCGUAUCCUUUAGAAAUCUCAAACGGGACAGGAACAGUGCCGCUCGUUUACCCGGGGAAAGUGGAUAACACGCCUGCGAGGCUUGGCUGCAUGAAAGAGGGGCUGAGUGGUUUGAACGUUACAGGGAAGAUCGUGCUGUGCGCCGUCGGAGAGAUCGAGAAUCACGAGAAAGUGGAGAUCGUGAAAAAGGCUGGGGGAGUCGGCGUAAUAUUGCUCGGCCAAAAAUGGAACGGGCAGACCACGUACGCCGAAUCACUCGAACUUCCUUCGGUCUGGAUGGGCAACCUCGACACUGUCGAGAUUGUGAACUACGCUCUGAACACCGACGAUGCCACCGGGGAGAUUGCUUUCCAAGGCACGCAGUUCGGCUACCGACCGGCCCCUGCGGUCGCCGGGUUGUCGGUAACGGGACCGAGCAAGUACAACGGCGGCAUCCUGAAGCCCGACAUUCUGGGGCCGGGCAUCAACAUCCUCGCCGCCUGGCACAAGCAGGUCGGGCCAAGUCCCACCGGCUCUGACGACCGGGCAUUCAACUUCGGUAGCGGAUGCUCCAUGGCCACGCCACACCUGGCCGGGAUCGCCGCGCUGCUCAUGAGCGCCCACCGGGACUGGUCGGUGGCCAUGAUCAAGUCGGCGAUCAUGACGACGGCGCUUACAAAGGACAAAGACGGGAACCCGAUAAUCGAC
rnacentral:lncRNA from 1 species